rnacentral:rRNA from 1 species
UACGUAGGGGGCAAGCGUUGUCCGGAAUCAUUGGGCGUAAAGAGCGUGUAGGCGGUCCGAUAAGUCCGCUCUGAAAGUCCGGGGCUCAACCCCGGGAGGCGGGCGGAUACUGUCGGGCUAGAGUCCGGAAGAGGCAAGUGGAAUUCCUGGUGUAGCGGUGAAAUGCGUAGAUAUCGUAAGGAAGACCAGUGGCGAAGGCGGGUCUCUGGACAGUUCCUGACGCUGAGGCACGAAGGUCAGGGGAGCAAACGGG